ensembl:lncRNA
UGUCUGAAGAAUCACUGCUUCGGGGGCUGAAACAUAGCCAGCUUUCUGGUUAUCAGAGGAUGCUUCGUACUGGGAUAUCAAACAGGGGAAAGACUGAAUGAAACAUAUAAUUUCCAUUUUUAAGAGGGCAAUAAGGAUAUUGCUGUCAGUUGCUUACAAACAGCCCUCCCGAGCUUAGUCCUCAUUGAAGAGAAGAUUGGUGACGUGUCCAGGACGUGCUCUGCUUGGCCCCAAUAUGCUGCAACACGUCGCCACGGAGCAAAAGAAAAAAAGACCCUGUUUACACAUGCCUGAUCACAUACAGCGGUUUCAACGGGCCAAAAUGAUGAAUAUUACAUUGAGUGGGCAGGAAGCAGGCGAGGGGGAAAGAUGGAGUGACAGGAAAACAAAGGCAAAGGGAGGCGGCUGAAGAGCAAGGAAGAAAAUCAAGACCGACUAAAAAAAAAAAAAAAAACUUGUGCAGCAAAUAAAGCAGGAGGAUCACUCACUCAGUCAAACAAAUAAACAUCAUCUAGAGUCUGACCUUUGC